UGGGGAAUAUUGCACAAUGGGGGAGACCCUGAUGCAGCGACGCCGCGUGAGCGAAGAAGGUUUUCGAAUCGUAAAGCUCUGUCCUAUGAGAAGAUAAUGACGGUAUCAUAGGAGGAAGCCCCGGCUAAAUACGUGCCAGCAGCCGCGGUAAUACGUAUGGGGCGAGCGUUGUCCGGAUUUACUGGGCGUAAAGGGUGCGUAGGUGGUCUUUCAAGUCGGUGGUUAAAGGCUACGGCUCAACCGUAGUUAGCCUCCGAAACUGGAAGACUUGAGUGCAGGAGAGGAAAGUGGAAUUCCCAGUGUAGCGGUGAAAUGCGUAGAUAUUGGGAGGAACACCAGUAGCGAAGGCGGCUUUCUGGACUGCAACUGACACUGAGGCACGAAAGCGUGGGUAGCAAACAGG
rnacentral:rRNA from 1 species